rnacentral:rRNA from 1 species
UACGAAGGGGGCUAGCGUUGUUCGGAAUUACUGGGCGUAAAGGGCGCGUAGGCGGUCCUGAUCGUCGGAUGUGAAAGGCCUGGGCUCAACCCAGGAAGUGCACUCGAAACUCCCGAGCUGGAGUCCCGGAGAGGAAGGCGGAAUUCUCGGUGUAGAGGUGAAAUUCGUAGAUAUCGAGAGGAACAUCUGUGGCGAAGGCGGCCUUCUGGACGGUGACUGACGCUGAGACGCGAAAGCGUGGGGAGCAAACAGG